AGAGUUUGAUCCUGGCUCAGAUUGAACGCUGGCGGCAUGCUUUACACAUGCAAGUCGAACGGUAACAGGGACCUUGGUCCGCUGACGAGUGGCGAACGGGUGAGUAAUGCAUCGGAACGUGCCGUGUAAUGGGGGAUAACGUAGCGAAAGUUACGCUAAUACCGCAUACGCCGUGAGCGGGAAAGCGGGGGACCGCAAGGCCUCACGUUAUACGAGCGGCCGAUGUCGGAUUAGCUAGUUGGUGGGGUAAAGGCCUACCAAGGCGACGAUCCGUAGCGGGUCUGAGAGGAUGAUCCGCCACACUGGGACUCAGACACGCCCCAGACUCCUACGGGAGGCAGCAGUGGGGAAUUUUGGACAAUGGGGGCAACCCUGAUCCAGCCAUGCCGCGUGAGUGAAGAAGGCCUUCGGGUUGUAAAGCUCUUUCAGCUGGAAAGAAAUCGCAUCUUUUAAUACAGGGUGUGGAUGACGGUACCAGCAGAAGAAG
rnacentral:rRNA from 1 species